rnacentral:tRNA from 1 species
ACCGAAAUAGCUCAGUCGAGAGAGCGUUAGACUAUAGAUAGUCCCUGGUUCGAUCCCGAGUUCCGGCA